rnacentral:rRNA from 1 species
AUUGAACGCUGGCGGCAGGCCUAACACAUGCAAGUCGAGCGGAUGAAGGGAGCUUGCUCCUGGAUUCAGCGGCGGACGGGUGAGUAAUGCCUAGGAAUCUGCCUGGUAGUGGGGGAUAACGUCCGGAAACGGGCGCUAAUACCGCAUACGUCCUGAGGGAGAAAGUGGGGGAUCUUCGGACCUCACGCUAUCAGAUGAGCCUAGGUCGGAUUAGCUAGUUGGUGGGGUAAAGGCCUACCAAGGCGACGAUCCGUAACUGGUCUGAGAGGAUGAUCAGUCACACCGGAACUGAGACACGGUCCAGACUCCUACGGGAGGCAGCAGUGGGGAAUAUUGGACAAUGGGCGAAAGCCUGAUCCAGCCACGCCGCGUGUGUGAAGAAGGUCUUCGGAUUGUAAAGCACUUUAAGUUGGGAGGAAGGGCAGUAAGUUAAUACCUUGCUGUUUUGACGUUACCAACAGAAUAAGCACCGGCUAACUUCGUG